rnacentral:lncRNA from 1 species
UUUAAAAAGAAACUGAAAACUUCUCAGUUCUCUCCCUCUUCCCCUUUCCGACCGUCGGGCUUCCAGGCCUUCGCCGCGCCGCCUCCACGGCCAGUGGUCGGAGUCGCUCGAGAUGGGUUUUUUAACCCUGGCUUCGGCACGCGUAAAGGCGGUACCUUUUUAAGCCAAGAGGCCGCAAAAAGGGGGUUUGAAUCUUCCUCCAAAUCCAGAUCUGACGCCGACGAGAGGCCACCGGCGGCACAAACCGAUUCAGGUGAGACCCUCUCUUCAACCCUUUUAUUUAUUUUGUUUUCUUUAAAAACAUUUUCAAAAAGAAAGAAAAUAUAAAAAUAAAUAGAUAAAUAAAUAAACAAAUAAAUCGAUCAAGAAAAAAAGACAAGAACAAGAACAACAACCUUUUCUCUUAUUUUCUGAUGUUUGUAAUAAAGGAUCCCCCCUAUUACAACAAAUUCGGCUUUAGCCGAAAGACAAGAAAAGAAAAAUCCCCCUGUAUUACAACAAUCUGUUUCGGCUUUAUAACCGAAAAAUGAAAAGAAAAAUCUAUCUCCUUGUCUGUUUCUGCUUUUAUUGUUUGCAGGUUGGAGACGUGCUGCGGUGGUGGUGACAGAGAGCAGGUGGAGCAGAGGGCAGGUGGCUUAGGUUAGGGGCGCGGCGCUAGAGGCAGAGACUAGGGUUUCAUGUUUUGGGCUUAGUGGGCUGCUAGGGUUUUGAUAAUUGGGCUGAUUGGGUUUGGGUUGUAAUUGGGUUUGGUUUAAGGUUUGGGUAAUUGGGGUUUUUUUGCUUUGGGUUUGCUUGUUGGGUUAAAGUUUGUAAACAGGUUGUCUUGGUUUGGUUUGUUUUUGCUGGUACGGGCCCGGGAAAAAAUGGGCUUGUACAGUAAAUACCUCAUUUAUUUUUCACUUAAAUUUUUUUCUUUUCAAAAAAAAAAAA